rnacentral:rRNA from 1 species
CCUACGGGAGGCAGCAGUGGGGAAUAUUGGACAAUGGGCGCAAGCCUGAUCCAGCAAUGCCGCGUGAGUGAAGAAGGCCUUAGGGUUGUAAAGCUCUUUCGGCGGGGAAGAUGAUGACGGUACCCGCAGAAGAAGCCCCGGCUAACUCCGUGCCAGCAGCCGCGGUAAUACGGAGGGGGCUAGCGUUGUUCGGAAUUACUGGGCGUAAAGGGCGCGUAGGCGGUGCGGUAAGUUAGGCGUGAAAGGCCCGGGCUCAACCCGGGAACUGCGCUUAAGACUGCCGUGCUGAGAGUCCGGGAGAGGAUGGCGGAAUUCCCAGUGUAGAGGUGAAAUUCGUAGAUAUUGGGAAGAACACCAGUGGCGAAGGCGGCCAUCUGGCCCGGUACUGACGCUGAGGCGCGAAAGCGUGGGGAGCAAACAGGAUUAGAUACCCCAGUAGU